GCCAGGAGAAAGGCAGCUUGAAACCUAUCUCAACAAAUUUUAUGACGAACUAGCAUUAAGUAAAAGGUGUAUAAUUUCACCGCCUUUCAUCAGUAUGUAACCCAGGGCUAUCUAUUCGGUGGUAGUUUUCUGUGCCACGUCUUUCCUCCUUGAGCUCAGCCUUGUUGAAAGCCAGGCCAGGGAAGAAGAUGGAUGUGUAACCAGCACUAACAGAGAGGGGGGAGAAGCAAAAAGAGGCUUCCUGUUACUCGUUGCAGCUGAGGACCAGGAGGCUAGUAAAGGAAAGCCAGCGUGAAAGUUGUGUCAUGAUGUUGGAGACACAGGGGAAAGAAGCUUCAGCUGCAGAGAGUAACAAGGCGGAGGUCACAGCAGGACACGUGUCCAGUAAUACUCAACAGGUACAAGGUGGAGCACCUGUGACCUCCGUACAACCUCCUGCCCCCGCAGCAACUGAGGAUGAGGAUGAGAGUGAAGACGAGUCAGAGAUCCUGGAAGAGAGUCCCUGUGGCCGCUGGCAGAAACGCAGAGAGGAGGUGAAUCAGCGUAAUGUCCCUGGAAUAGAUGCUGCUUAUUUGGCUAUGGACACAGAGGAAGGGGUGGAGGUGGUUUGGAAUGAAGUCAUGAUCUCAGAGAGGAAGAACUUCAAACUUCUGGAGGAGAAAGUGAAGGCUGUGUUUGACAACCUGAUCCAUUUGGAACAUGCAAAUAUUGUCAAGUUUCACAAGUACUGGGCUGACACAAAGGAGAACCGGGCCAGGGUGAUUUUUAUUACAGAAUAUAUGUCAUCGGGAAGCUUGAAGCAGUUUCUGAAGAAGACAAAGAAGAAUCACAAGAGCAUGAAUGAAAAGGCUUGGAAGAGAUGGUGCACACAGAUCCUGUCUGCUCUCAGUUAUCUCCACUCAUGUGACCCACCCAUCAUCCAUGGCAACCUGACCUGUGACACCAUCUUCAUUCAGCACAAUGGGCUCAUCAAGAUUGGAUCAGUUGCCCCAGACACCAUUAACAACCACGUGAAGACUUGUCACGAGGAACAGAAGAACAUGCACUUCUUUGCUCCAGAAUAUGGAGCUGUUGAUGAUGUUACCACGGCUGUAGACAUCUACUCAUUUGGCAUGUGUGCCUUAGAGAUGGCGCUCUUGGAGAUUCAGGGGAAUGGAGAGUCCUCUAAUGUUUCUCAGGAGGCCGUAAACAAUGCCAUACAGUUACUGGAGGACCCACUGCAGAGGGAGUUAAUUCAGAAGUGCCUCGAGUGUGAUCCCAAUACAAGGCCUACAGCCAGAGAGCUGCUGUUUAACCAGGCUCUGUUUGAAGUACCACUUCUAAAGCUGCUGGCUGCACAUUGUAUUGUCAGCCAUCAACACAUGAUCCCUGAAAAUGCCCUGGAGGAGAUCACCAAGAACCUGGACCCCAACCUGGUCAUCGCCGAAACAAAAGAGGAUGUACAGCUCAAGCUUUCGCAGUUUCCUGCUUUGGAGCUUGAUAAGUUCCUAGAAGAUGUGAGGAAUGGUAUUUAUCCAAUGACAGCAUUUGGGCUGCCCUGUCCUCAGCAGCCCCAACAGGAGACUGUUCAGUCUCCUGUUGUCAUCCCCUUGGUGAAAUCCCCCACCCCUGAACCUGCAGAGCUUGAGACACGACGGGUUGUUCAUAUGCAGUGUAAUGUUGAACCUGUUGAGGAGGGAGCAAAGUUUCAUCUAACAUUACUGCUGAAACUGGAGGAUAAACUGAAUAGACAUCUAAGCUGUGACAUGUUACCUCGUAAGAUCCAACUCUAUAUUGUCAAUUCUGUAUCACACACUGGCACAUACUUACUCAGUGAGCUUAGAACUACGGUCUUUGAUUUUGUUAUGGUGCCCUCACGUUUGGAAAUUUCCUCCCAGCUUUCUCGUUGUUAAUGUUUUAAAGGUCAGCAGAGUUCAAAGUCAAGUUUCAUUACGUCAAAAUUGAGCUGGGAGGUAAAUUUGGGAUUUGGGUGCAGUAUUUGGUACUAAAGCAAAAAUAAGGGAAUAUGUCUUCAAUUAACAAAGAAAGGCCUUUGAAAUUUCCAACAGCGAGCAUUUGAUGUCGUUGAAGGUGUGUCCUAUGUAGGUGAGACAUAACGUAAGAGGGUUAGUGGCCAUUCUUCCGGCCAUGUGCGCAAGUGUGGGUGUCACAAAUACAAGCACUUCUGCAUGUGUGUAAGAAACCAGUACCAAAAAGCAUUCAGUAUUUGCAUCAUGUGAUAGUUGAGGGAAUGGCAUGUGUUUGGGCAUGUGUGUUUUCCAUUCAUGUGAAAAUGUGUUUGAAUUUAACAGCCUCAGAGUCGAGAAGUUUUUAUAAAGUGUGAUAAUUUUGUUCAUCUGGUUGGUUUAAUUUUUAUAGCUUGGGUUUAGGGUUAAUGAUAGAAUUGCAUUUGACUAGAGGUAAUGUUAAAUGAUAAGGUGAUGCGGGAAUGAAUUACAGCAUAGUUAAGUACACUGUCCUCUCAGAUUUUACCACACUCAGUUUUAAUAGACAGUAUCUUUCUAUAUGUGUGGACUGAGGCUUGUAGGAAAGUGAGAGUGAGGUUCCAGAGACAGCUUGAAACUCCAAUGGCGUCACAAUAUACAGUAUGCUAGACUAUUUUAGGCAGGGAGACUCACUGUCGCUUACGUGUCAUGAAAACCUUGCACCUCUAUUUUGGAAAAAUGUAUUUUCAUUGCAUACUUGAAUUGUUUCGUAAUGGCUGUAGUGACUUUUUAUACCUUUAAAUCUGUUCUAAAUAUUUUCUUGGAAAACAAUAGUGAGUCAUCUUUACAGGUCCUGCUUUUUUUACUUAUUUGUUUACGAAUUAUACAGUAUUUUCAUCUCACUGCUUUUGCCACAGACAAGACCAAAGGAAGGCAAAAGAGAAAAUAACACACAACACAACUGUUGCACUGGUCAGAAUAAUGUAGGCAGUAUGAUCCAAUGUGCACAUGCACACACAGGUAUGGUUGGCAUGUAUACCGUUGGAGGCGUGUGGGGAAUGCCAGGCCUGUGAAAGGCUGCAGCUGACAGCUGUCACCUCCUGUGUCAAGAUCUGACCAUCUCUUCCCAGGCUUUCAUCUCCCUGUCUCUCAGUCACACGCACACACACUUACACUCUCACACACUUUCACUGGACUUCAUCUCUUCUGCUCUUUCUCUCUUCCACUGUUUCUCACACUGUAUUGCUUCUCUUGGAUACUAACACCCUAUUACCACUUGCACACAUACUGUAACUUCACAUCCACACACACCCACACACACUAGUCAGUCUCAUAGACGCACCCUUUCCUCUUUGUAAACAAUCCCUCCUUCUGAUAUCAGGGGAUAUUCUUUCUUAAGCUUUGCUUAUCAACAUGCCAAAGUCCAAAGUCACACCAUGCAGGGUCACCAGUUAACUGAGCCACUUAAAUUUCACCCCACUGGCCUUUUUGCAUGGUUCUCUUACAUCAUAUUUCAGUGCAUUCACAAUUGAUGCUUGUUUUUAUUCUCAAAACUAAAUAGUAACUUAUUUUGUUAUAUGAUUUUCUAUCAGACCACAAGAUGCAAAUCAGCAACGCAGCCUGUGCCUCCAGUGUCAGCUCCAGUAUCCAUCCUCUCGUCAUAUAAGCUGUGGGCUGCUCGUGUUGUUCUUUUAUGUCAAAGUUGUUAGAUGCUCCAUGUCUUCCUUUUGUUUGUCUUAUUCCCACCACAUUCCAUGUUCAGUUGUAAAUUGACAGCCAGGUUAUUAAAAAUCAGUCGACCCUGACAACUCCUCUGCUCACUUGGCUCAGGAAAAGAAUGUCCCAGUUUGGGGCGGUAACUAAAGUAAUAGUAAAAAAUGCUUUUGUUAGAUACAAUCCAUUUAUUACAAAAAUAGGUCAGGGAUUGAAAGGCGAGUUAUAUAAGGGUAUCUUUAAGUUUUUAGGGCAAAGUGGAGGUUAGAGUUCUAAAUCAGAAAUGUCUUCUGAAGGCAUUUUCCUGAUGUUUUAGUCAAGCAAAAUUCAGCAUCCUUCUGUUUGCAUAUUUUGAGCAACCUUAUGUAUAUUUUGUGCAGACUUCUGUUGAUACCCUUUGUAGUUCACUUGUAGUUCACUGUUUUGGUGUACUGACUUUCCUUUAACCUACCUAAAAUUUUCACCGAACAUAGUGAGUUCAUAUUCUUUAUAAUGUAAAACAUCUUAAAAUAAAUUCCCACCACAAAAGUCAGAACAAUAGCACAGCCAGAGGAGCAGGAAUUAUUUUAUAUAAUAGUUGUGCAGCUGCAUUGCAACAUGGAUUACUGAAAUCUUAAUCUUUGCCUUUUCUGAGAUAUAUUUGUUCCUGUACAAGUCUUACCUGGAAUUUACUGCAGAUUUUUAGGUCAAACAGUUAAAAACAAGUUGGAUGAGCUAGGGCUAAAUUCAGCUUUUGGGACAAAUACAAGGUUCAUGAGAACAUUGGAAAAAGGAUUAAAAUAUUAGCCCAGAAAGAAACUUAUGGACACUCUAAAGUAGAGGGAAGGACAAAGAUCCGUCCAUUUCAUAGUUAAGCCUUUAAUAGCAAGCCUAAAGAGAAAUAUUCAGACAGCUAACAUGUUUUAACAUAUCAUGCCCUAAUGAAGACCAUGCUGGUUGAAACAUGUCGGCUUUUUCAUUUUCCUUCCCGAAGAGACUUAUUCUGUAUUGGAUGUAACUGAAUGAAUGCUUCGCUAAAUGUUCACAGGAAUAUAAAAAUAGCACUAUGAAACAACAAAACGGGUUUACAUAUAUGGAGAACAACAGCAGUAGCUGCUGGUUGGUGUGUUUUUGUUUUCAUGUAUUAAAACAGGGAUUUGAAGCUAAAAGCAUCUGGACCAUAUUUUUUCUGAAUGUGGUAUUUACCUUAAGCCUGACAUUUAUUCAGGUGCAGGGCUGUGUGUUUGUGUUAGAGUAUUUGCAUAACUGAAAGGGAGAUAGUGAGCGACUGGUGUAGUUGAUGUGAAAGUGAUGUUACAUGUCUUUGAAUUACUGUUGCUAACUGUGCUGCUGUGUGUUUCAGAUGAGAGUGUUCAAGAGUUGGCUGAAGAGUUGGUACAGCUGGGCUUAAUCAGUGAGUUGGACCAAAACAAAAUAGCCCAUCUACUAGAAGAAACUUUCAGCCAAGCUCUUCACUAGCAAGGGUUUCCUCAACCACUUCUCCUCAUAAGUACAAUUUCUCCAACCCUGUUACACAUUUUGUUUUUGAUUACUCAACACAGUGACUGUUUUUUUGUUUUUCUUUUUCCCUGUAUUUUAUAUCAAGCCGUAGGCAGCAAUGUGACCAAUAGUGGUAGGUUUUCUCUUGGAAUCAGGGAUUAAAACUUCCUGAAAGCACACAAAACCUUUAGAACAGCCAGUUUUAAAGAAACCACAUGGAGUGAUUUCACAUUAUAUAGUUAUAUCCAUUGUAUUCUUUUGGAUGAGUUGGCUGUUAAGUGUAACUAAAAGGUAAACCUCAUUCAUGCUACAAGAGACACUUGAUCACAACAGUACUGACUGGAUUACUUGCAGCCUUACGAUGAGAUCCAGUUAUUCUCAAGCACACAGUUGUGUUUUAGUGUGAGGUGUUUACAUUUUGAAUUGCCUGGCCUGUUAGGGUUAGGGUUAACCCUAACCCUAACCCUCUGUGUCCUGGGAUGAGACCUUCUGAAACAUCAUCAAAGACUUAUUCAGCCCUUCACUGCAGUCAUACCACAUACUAACUCAUCUCUCUCAACUCUUGCAUUAAAUUUUAAUAGUUGCUCCUACACCUUUUGACCACCAACAAAACUAACUCAACCAGAGAAGGAGGGAUACAUUUCAACCUAAAGAAAAUUUUUACAAACUAAGCCAGCCUAUUUUGUUCAACCAUUCUCACUCCACACGGUUCCCCUUCUCCUUUGUCUCCUUUUUUUGUAUCACUUCAUGUGGCAGAACAUUCCCUGUUCUUUGACUUUUGUGAUGUGUUUGACCAAAAUAUCAACUGUCAGAUUAAAUAUAUUGUAUAGUUUGAAAACAGGUUUGCAAAUAUGGAACCUUCUCAGCUCAUUUUUAAAUCGAUAAAUACCCAUGGUUAAUAUUUUUGAUAAGCCUUUGAUACAGAAAACAAUGUGUGUGCAUUACUGGAUAUCACAUUUUGGCAGGGCAUCUUGCCAGAUCUCUCUGGAAGAUGGUUACUUUGAGGUACUGUGAACUCAGUGUUACUGAAUUUCCGUUAGUGUUUGUUUUUAUAUUUUUGCUCUACUGUUUGCCUUACUGUGGGCCUACGCACACGCCUUAAAUUCUGUUUUCUCUAUUUGUUUUUAUUAUUUUAUCAGUUGUUUUACCGUUUGCUGCUUGGCUCACAUGGGCUCACACACUCUACUCUGCCUUUCAAAUUCAUUCAUGUGAAACUUGUGUAGUGAACUCAGCUGCCAUAUUCUGUAGAAAGAGGACCUAGUGUUUCGUGAUACAUUUAUGUGAGUUUCGUAUGUUUUAUUUAUGUUACAGAUACUGUGUUUUACAGAUGUGUUUUUUCUUUGCUUCUUCCCCAUGUGUUUGCUGAGGUUUCACAUGGAGACCAUAUUGUUGAGCGUCUGAGCCAAAUACACAACUUCUCGUUUCUAUUGCCUUUGUUUUCAUUUGAUCACAGGCCAUUUGAUAAACGUGGGACCCAGUGGAUUGACAUUAGUCCUUCACAAUGUGCAGAGGCUCCUAAAUUUGAAUAAAACAUUUUACAUCAUACAGGUCUUGUUUAGACUUGUAUUGAGAUCAGGGAGUUGCCUGUGGCCUUAUUGUGACAUUUUGGUUCAGAACUCUUUGUGGACUACUGGUACUGCUGUGUCUGAAAGCUCACACAGUUCAACAGGCAGCAAGAAUGCAAUGACAAUAUAGCAUUCUCGUUAUGUAUAGAUUAAAGAAAGGCAACAAUUCAGAUAUCAUUGCACACAGUAACUUCCCUUGUGGUAUUUUAUUUAAAUUAUACUCAGACUGCCUUACAAACUCUCUGCCAGCUUAAAAGAAGACUACUGUAUGAGCUUUCAGACAGAGCUUUCCUUUAGUGCUGGUUGUUGAGACAUAAUGUUAAAAUUGUACACCUCACUAGUGAGAUCAGGUGAAUCCAAUGCUCUCCACUCAUGUUUUCCUUAAAUGUAUUUACGCAACUGUUACAUCCAAUCUGUAUUUUUUGCUGUACAUGACAUGUAGUCCAUCUUAAUGCAGUGUUUACAUUGUUUUCCUCUGUUUGUAUAUCUCUUUGUGAACUAAGACUGUAUAUCCCAAAGAUGUGUGCUUAAGUUAGCCAGUAGAAUGUAAACCACUCCUUGCAUAGAGAAGUGGUUAAAAACCAAACCAGUGUGAUCACCAGAUUUAUACCGACUCAGUCUUUCUAUGUCUCUUUUCUCCCAGUCCCUCCAGAUACUAUCCUUUCCACCCAAAUUACCGGUGGUGUUGAAACUGGUUAUUAAAUAAUCGUACGGGAUGGGCAGCUUUAGCUUGAUGUGAGCUUUUGGUUAUAUUUGGAUAUUCUUAUAUUUUGUACAUGACAUGAAUGUCAGUAAAUGUGUGUGCCUUUUCUGAGACGUGUGUCCUGACAAAAACUGUCAGUACGACUGGUCUUUCAAAUAAAUGUGUGAAGUGUU